AUACAGUAUCCUGUUUUUGUCCAUCUGAAAGUAUAGAUAAUAAGUUUUUUCUCUUUGUAUGGUCAGUCUUCUUAGUUGUUUAAUGCGUUUUUGUUUUGGGGAUGCUUUCUCUAUUUCACAGCAUUUCGCAAGUCUUGGUGCCAGUUCUUACUUACUAUUGAGGUCCAUGUCUGUGGGUAGAGCUAUGGGGCCAGGAAAUUAUUUUAAGGUGAUUGGCUAAGUCACUUUCUUGGGGAACUAUUUGUGCCUUCCCCCAGAAUCCCGUCCUCCAUUUUUGUGCUUUGCCAGUAAUUACAGCUGCUAAUGUUUCUGUCAGAACACUAGUGAAGGACCUGGGAGUGUUCAUAUGUAACAUGAACAUUUUCUUGAGUCCCUCUGUCUGUUUUCACUCUGGUAGCCUUGAUCACAACUGUUUCCCGAAGUCUGCAGUCACGAAACAGACAAAGUUAUUACAAAACUCUUACAUAGGAGGGGUGACAGGAGCAAGAGGCAUGUGCAGAAUCCUAUGCGGUUUGGUGACUGACCAGACAAAGGAAAUAAGGGCAUGAAGAAAGGACAGACUCACUGGCAUAUGACAGAAUAGCUGGGAAAGGGUGAGGCAGACGUAUGUUGUGACGGAGAAGCACCAGCUGCACAGAUGUCACCUUGCUCAUUACAUAUGGCUGUGUGAGCAGGUGGGUUAUUUUAAGGAUGGUAAGGAGGAAGAGGAAGAGAAGGAGGAGGAAGGUUGUAGAUUGUCUCUGUACAGGUGAGGGCAGGCACAAGAUAAAGCAAGGCCUGUGAUUGGGCAGAGAAAAAGUAAGGCGGGGACAGAGUUUUUGUAAGGCGGGAGAGGAAAAGAAAAAGAAAAAAAAAAAGAGAGAGAAGAACCAAGAUGGAGGCAGAAAAGGACGGUCCAGGUCCGUAUGGCCAUAAGUGACCAGAGGUAGUUAUGAAUAUUUCUUAAGGGAUGGACUUUUAUAGGUCAAUUUGUCUUAUCUAGGUGGGCCAUUUAUAUCAUUAUCAAUUGGUUGUGAGUUUAUUAUGUGGACAUUUGGUGGAUUGAGAAUUUAAGAUAUAAAUCUGAUUGCUAAAUUACAAGGUUAUUGAGUUUUGAUUUUAACGGGUAAACUGGGAGUUGUGACUAUAACCACAGGGGGCGGAUGCUGGGAAUGUGAGCGGUCUGCAGCUGCCGGGCUCAGAGAGCAGCCAGCGGCAGCAGCCAGCAGCGUGGGAUGGAGAGUGGGAGUUUAGUGGUGAGACGCUUUGUUGACUGAGAUGAAAAUACCCGGCAGAAGUCAUGGGGCCCACUGGUACCAGCACUGGAGAUCAACUUUGAGGGACACAAAAGUGAGAAGCAAAAUACAUUCUGUACAAUGAAGAUUCAUCAAUUCAAAUGAGAACUCAGCAUCAGUUACGAAAGAAAAUUCUUAGUUUGCUGCUGUGUUGAAGACAAACAUAUUUGAUAUGGCAGCUGCCAUCCUUCCCAGCAUUCCUCUACAGACACUAAGGGUCUUCAGAGUCAGCAUUUUGCUCUUCAACAAUCAAGAGUGUACUUAAGAUGUGGGACUCUGUUUAAGCUUUUACCUCAAGGUAAGUUUGAAUGGAGAGGUAUACCUCGACCUCCCUAUGUUCUACUGUUGCAGAUAGAUAGUCCCCAUAGACUCAUGUUUAAGUUGGAACCUCAGUUAAGGUGAGAUCACACUGCACUGUAGUGGGUUCUGAUCUGAUGUAGCUGGUGUGCUUAUAAAAUGGUAAAAUUUAGGCACAGACAAGCUCACACGAGAAUGCUCACACGAGAAGAUGACAUAGCAGAUCCCACGCAAGGCCACUGUUCCCAGAAAUCCUAAGACACUAAGAGGAGGUGUGCAGAAGCCUAGUGUCACACCCACAGCCAUGUCAUAUAAAGCCUCUCUGUACUGGCCGGUUUUGUGUGUCACCUUGACACGAGCUAGUCAUCACAGAGAAAAGAACCUCAGUUGAGAAAAUGACUCCACAGAAUCCAGCUAAGGGGCCUUUUCUCAAUUAGUGAUUAAUGUUGGAGGACCCAGCCCAUGGUAGGAAGCCAGGGGAAGCAAGCCAGUAAGCAGCAUACUUCCAUAGCUUCUGCAUAAGCUCCUCCCUCCAGGUUCCAGCCCUGUGUGAGUUCCUAUCCUGACCUCUUCCAGGGAUGGAUUGUGAUCUGGAAGUGUAAGCCCCUUUUUUCCCAACUUGCUUUUUGGUCAUGGUGUUUCCUCACAGCAGUUAAGCCCUAAGACAGCUUCCUUUCUCCUUUUCAUAAUGAACACAUGUAGAACUGGCCCAGCCACAAGGUGGAAUGUGGGAACCUGACUCAUGCAUGGCGGGGAGCCACCUAACAAUUAGGAACACCCGCUUUGGGCUUCUUGUAAGAAACUAAAAGAACUGUUGUUUUCAGCUACAUGGAUGUAAGAGUUUAUCUGCUGCACUGUAUUUUAAUUUCUUGUGUCUGUGUGUAAGUCUGAAUGUGAAGGUCAGAGGUCAGGAGUCACUUGUCUCCUCAGGAUGUCAGGCUUGAUGACCAGCUCCAUACCCAGGGAUCCAUGUCAUCAAUCUUGAAGUAGAUCUUAAAACCCACUUUAUAAUGUGUUGGUGUGAGGGUGGUAAACAUACUUUGAUUCAAGUUUGGAGGAUGGCUUAGAGCAUCAGGUACAGAAUGGGUGGCAUGUAAGCAGAAGUCUGGCUAGAUGUAAGAAAAGCUGAGAGGGAAGGAAUGGCCCACAUGGAGAAAAUUGUGUGCACUUAGGGUCCCAAGCGAAAGUACUGAUGCUGUUUUGGGAGGCGGUGGAAGUUUUUGUGGGUGGAGCUUCGUUGGAGGAAGUGGAAGACUGGAGCAUACCAUGGUAGGUGGGUGGAGGUGUCUUGUGGGUUUCAGCCUCGACUGUUCUGACAGGAGCUCUCAAUGCUUCCAAGGAGAACUGGUACUGCUUAUCUCCUUGACUUCUGCUGCCUCAGUGAAGGGCUUCCCACCAUGCUUUCUCUGCAAGAUUGGCUCUAUUUUCUGAGCAACAAAUGCAUUCUUUCUUCUCUACUUUGCUUCUGACAGAGUGUCUGCCUUAGGGAUGAGAAAAAGUAAUCUUAUUCAAAUUAACUGUUCUGGAAUCUUCAGAGCCCAGAGCCACUAGCAUGAAACUUACAAAUAGACUAGAUUCCUAGGCUCCUGUUAAACUGGUUAAUUAACAAACCUCCUCAAUGUUUGGAAUACAAUUUCAAACUUUGAAAUUAAAUGAGCUUACUGUGGGGGAGUUAAUGUGAUGUGAGCUUCUAGGGGUAGAAGAGCACAGUAAUGAAAUCUGCCUCUUUAGUUGUACACAAAUAUAUUUAUUAGAGAUAUAAAUAAUCAUGUUUUAUAUGUAUAUUUUGUGAAUUAAUGGUAAAGAAAAGCCAUGUCUCACUAAAAACUGUUUUUAGACUGACUGUGGAUACAUGUUUCUCCAAUAUCACUUUUCAAAUAAUUUUUUUUUUUUUGGUUCUUUUUUUCAGAGCUGGGGACCGAACCCAGGGCCUUACGCUUCCUAGGCAAGCGCUCUACCACUGAGCUAAAUCCCCAACCCCUCAAAUAAUUUUCUAGUAAAAUUUUUGUUUGUGUUACAUUUUGAAGAAGCCAAAAUAUUUUAUCCUUUCAAAUUUAAAAAUUUCUGUCAUUUUAGUCAAUAUUACAAUAUUACAUUUAGUCAAAUAACAAUUCUGUUAUUUUAGUCAAUAAAAACUCUUAUUUCAUCCUCACUUUUCUGUGUUUGGACCAGACUACUUGCCAUCUACCUGCUGUCUUGGAGUGGACGUUCAGCGGUUGCGUGUGGCUCUGACUUCCAAGAGGAGACAAGGGACUCAGAAUUCAAGGUCCAGGUUUGAGACUCAGGUUAUGGUGAAUGGAUCCUAGGUUUUCUAGUUGCAUUACAGUAAUAAUAAGUAAUAAACUUAUCUCUCGACUAGACUAAGGAAAGAUAGUAUCUGCAAAAGACUUACAUGAAUAAACUAUGUUAGAUUUCUAAAUAAAAAUCAAUAGGUAAUAGCAUUAAAUUGACAUAAACCAAUUUAAUUUAUGUGAGUAAGCUUACAAUAUAUUUAAAAUAUAAUUUGACGAUAUAUUUUGCCAGCUAAACAAUACAAGUUAGCUUGCAAAGCUGAGUUAGUUCAAGAAAGUUUGUUGCGGCUUUCUCCAAGGGUAUUGGGACUGUGAGGCUCAGGGGAAAACACUUCAUUCGAUCCACUUUCAUCCUUCAUAGAGAGGUACUGACUUCAAGAAGAAUGUAUAAAAAGAUCGGCAAGAGCAUCCAAACAAAUUAAUCAGCUUUUCAUGUCAGCCUUUUGUAUUGGAUGUGCAUGUUUCUUAUGUAAAUGAUAAUGUAACUUGGAACAAUUGAGUCCCUUGCUUUAUUUUCAUGGAGACCAAGAGAGCAGACUCAGUCACACCUGCGGCCUUAAGAGCUCACAUGAACUUUGACCUGUAAGCAAUGUGGAAAUGUUGGAUUUUUACUGGAGUCCAGAGGACUGCUUUUCACCGCUACCAAGGGACCCUGAAUAUUGCACCACACUCAUCUUUCUGAACUGGCCACUGGCUGUCUUUCAACUGCCUGUCUCGGGCACUGUGUGUACUGCUUUGGACUACUAGCCAUACGCUGCCAUUUGGGGCUCAAACUGAGGAAAUGUUUGCAUAGCAUCAUCGUCAAGAAGUUGUGUAUAUUCUGCUAGGAAGUAAAGAUGCUGACCUUAAGCAUUGAGAGAUGGAAGCCAUUCUGAGACAAUGCAGGGAGACUAAGUGCUUGUGGGUUAUUUUUGUUUAUAAAGAGUUUGCAACCAGCCCACGUUGAUCCACAGAGAAGUAGCUCCUAAAAGUCACUUAGCUAUGUAUUGGCUUUAUCUGGGAGCUAUGGCUACCAUUUCGGACUCUAAUAUAAAUAGACAAUAAAUAUUUUUCCUGAAUUCCUUUUCAUUUUGCGCGCGCGCUCUCUGUCUCUCUGUCUCUCUGUCUCUCUGUCUCUCUGUCUCUCUCUCUCUCUCUCUCUCUCUCUCUCUCUCUCUCUCUCUCUCUGUGUGUGUGUGUGUGUGUGUGUGUGUGUGUGUGUGUGUGUG